rnacentral:rRNA from 1 species
AAUCUUGGACAAUGGGGGAAACCCUGAUCCAGCCAUGCCGCGUGAGUGAUGAAGGCCCUAGGGUUGUAAAGCUCUUUCAGCGGGGAAGAUAAUGACGGUACCCGCAGAAGAAGCCCCGGCUAACUUCGUGCCAGCAGCCGCGGUAAUACGAAGGGGGAUAGCGUUGCUCGGAAUCACUGGGCGUAAAGCGCACGUAGGCGGGUCGUCAAGUCGGGGGUGAAAGCCCGGAGCUCAACUCCGGAACAGCCUUCGAUACUGACGAUCUUGAGUUCGGGAGAGGUGAGUGGAACUGCGAGUGUAGAGGUGAAAUUCGUAGAUAUUCGCAAGAACACCAGUGGCGAAGGCGGCUCACUGGCCCGAUACUGACGCUGAGGUGCGAAAGCGUGGGGAGC